rnacentral:misc_RNA from 1 species
UACUCUCACACUCUCUGAUCCUUUGGAUUCGGGAGCGGUGGACUUGGGUGUUUGCUGCUUUCCUUGUGGCUCACCUCAAAUGCGUUAGUGCACCUCUUGGUUGGACAUAGAACGGCGUGAUAAGUGUCUUCGCCGGCACCUCGCAAGAGGGUGGCCAAUUGGGAGCUCUGUGCUUUCAAACCGUCUUCGGACAAUCUCUGACA